rnacentral:rRNA from 1 species
UCUCUGGAUGAGUUGCGAACGGUUGAGUAACGCGUAGGUAACCUGCCUGGUAGCGGGGGAUAACUAUUGGAAACGAUAGCUAAUACCGCAUAAGAGUAGAUGUUGCAUGACAUUUGCUUAAAAGGUGCAAUUGCAUCACUACCAGAUGGACCUGCGUUGUAUUAGCUAGUUGGUGGGGUAACGGCUCACCAAGGCGACGAUACAUAGCCGACCUGAGAGGGUGAUCGGCCACACUGGGACUGAGACACGGCCCAGACUCCUACGGGAGGCAGCAGUAGGGAAUCUUCGGCAAUGGACGGAGGUCUGACCGAGCAACGCCGCGUGAGUGAAGAAGGUUUUCGGAUCGUAAAGCUCUGUUGUAAGAGAAGAACGAGUGUGAGAGUGGAAAGUUCACACUGUGACGGUAUCUUACCAGAAAGGGACGGCUAACUACGUGCCAGCAGCCGCGGUAAUACGUAGGUCCCGAGCGUUGUCCGGAUUUAUUGGGCGUAAAGCGAGCGCAGGCGGUUAGAUAAGUCUGAAGUUAAAGGCUGUGGCCUAACCAUAGUACGCUUUGGAAACUGUUUAACUUGAGUGCAAGAGGGGAGAGUGGAAUUCCAUGUGUAGCGGUGAAAUGCGUAGAUAUAUGGAGGAACACCGGUGGCGAAAGCGGCUCUCUGGCU